rnacentral:rRNA from 1 species
CCUACGGGUGGCAGCAGUGGGGAAUAUUGCACAAUGGGCGCAAGCCUGAUGCAGCCAUGCCGCGUGUGUGAAGAAGGCCUUCGGGUUGUAAAGCACUUUCAGCGGGGAGGAAGGCGUUAAGGUUAAUAACCUUGUCGAUUGACGUUACCCGCAGAAGAAGCACCGGCUAACUCCGUGCCAGCAGCCGCGGUAAUACGGAGGGUGCAAGCGUUAAUCGGAAUUACUGGGAGUAAAGCGCACGCAGGCGGUCUGUCAAGUCGGAUGUGAAAUCCCCGGGCUCAACCUGGGAACUGCAUUCGAAACUGGCAGGCUAGAGUCUUGUAGAGGGGGGUAGAAUUCCAGGUGUAGCGGUGAAAUGCGUAGAGAUCUGGAGGAAUACCGGUGGCGAAGGCGGCCCCCUGGACAAAGACUGACGCUCAGGUGCGAAAGCGUGGGGAGCAAACAGGAUUAGAUACCCGGGUAGUC